GACACAACACACAAACCUUGGGAGAAAUGAAGCAGGAGCCAGGAGGCUUGGUGUAACAGGAAGAUGGAGGUGGAAUUAUCUCUUUUUUCGACUAGACAGAAGAUUUGAGUUCACCCAUGUCUUGUUUUUAAUUUUAUACCUUUCCUCUCAGUGAAUCGUUAUUGGAUAGUUGAUUAAUUCACCAGCCAUUAGCUAAUUUAUUCAACUUUUUUUUUUUAAUCAACCUUUCUUUUAUGUUUUUCUUUUUUACCUAAGGUUAGAUUUUUUUUAGUCUAAUGUAAAAUACCCUUAAAACUUUAUUUUAGAUUUUCUAUAAAAUCCUCCCAU